AGAGUUUGAUCCUGGCUCAGAUUGAGCGCUGGCGGCAUGCCUUACACAUGCAAGUCGAACGGCAGCACGGGAGCUUGCUCCUGGUGGCGAGUGGCGAACGGGUGAGUAAUACAUCGGAACGUACCCAGGAGUGGGGGAUAACGUAGCGAAAGUUACGCUAAUACCGCAUAUUCUGUGAGCAGGAAAGCGGGGGAUCGCAAGACCUCGCGCUCUUGGAGCGGCCGAUGUCGGAUUAGCUAGUUGGUGAGGUAAAAGCUCACCAAGGCGACGAUCCGUAGCAGGUCUGAGAGGAUGAUCUGCCACACUGGGACUGAGACACGGCCCAGACUCCUACGGGAGGCAGCAGUGGGGAAUUUUGGACAAUGGGGGCAACCCUGAUCCAGCCAUGCCGCGUGAGUGAAGAAGGCCUUCGGG
rnacentral:rRNA from 1 species